rnacentral:rRNA from 1 species
UACAGAGACCUCAAGCGUUAUCCGGAAUUAUUGGGCGUAAAGAGCUCGUAGGCGGUCUGUCGCGUCUGCUGUGAAAACCCGGGGCUUAACCCCGGGCCUGCAGUGGGUACGGGCAGACUAGAGUGCGGUAGGGGAGACUGGAAUUCCUGGUGUAGCGGUGAAAUGCGCAGAUAUCAGGAGGAACACCGGUGGCGAAGGCGGGUCUCUGGGCCGUAACUGACGCUGAGGAGCGAAAGCAUGGGGAGCGAACAGG